CCAAUUUCUUUCUCUCUUCCUUCUCUCCAAUCCCACACUCGUCUCUUUCUCUCAUCACGGCUGCCCCUUUUUUCUCAUCACCGCCGCCCCUGCCCCGCCCUCUUUCUUUUCUAUCGCCUUUUUCAAUUUCUCUGUAAAUUAUCGCCUUUUCUAUCACGGGGGCGUGUUGAAAGUGAAGGGGGCGAGUCGGGAAGAGUUCGAGGGGUUCGUGAAGAGGGAGAGUACGAGGCCGUUGAGGAAUCUUUCGACGCCGAUUGCUUCGGCGCAUCAGAUGGGGAGUUGUCGGAUGGGGGUGGAUUCGGGGGGGUCGGGGGUGGACCCGAGGGGGGAGACUUGGGAGGUGGAGGGGCUGUUUGUGGCGGAUACGAGUGUUUUUCCGACUGCUUUGGGGGUGAAUCCGAUGGUUACGGUUCAGGCGAUUGCUUACUGCACUGCACAAUCUGUUCUUGAAAUUCUUGGCGGGAAGAAGUUUGUGUAGCAGGACAAAGUGUUUGGUUUUUGAACAGGCGGCGAUGGCACAAGGGUGAUUAGGUUUGGUGAUGUUCGGGUAACUCUACUAUUUGUUAGUGGUGAUGACGUUUGUUGGUGACUUUAAAAAAAAAAAACCAGAGUACUAGUAGUACUUUUCUUAGAAUUGUUAUAACACAUUGUUUUUCUUUUAGUAUCGAUGAUUGUGGAAGUUUUGUAGUUAAUUACAUUUAAUUUCAUAGUGGGAUUAUGUUAAUUUUAUUUGAAUUAUGUUAAUUUAAUAGUUAAUUUCGA